rnacentral:tRNA from 1 species
UGGCUCAGUUUGUUGAGCAUGGCACUUGCAAUGCUAGGGUUGUGGGUUCGACUUCCAC